ACGACCACAGGGUACAUGAUACAGAGCUAUAACUCAACUGAAAUCUUCCAUGUUCAUAGAGCACAUGAUACCAACCUAACUCUUAACUAACUAAUCAGCAACAUCACUCAGGAGAUGCUAGACUGACAAGCUGGUACAUGGAGCUACAGAAAUAUCAGAACCUCAUUAGACCUAGAAACAUAUACUCCUAGGAACAUUAUACAGGAACACAGGACAUGGACAUAGGGGGUCAAAACACUCAGUAACUAAGCUAGUGUUCUGGCAGAGUUAACAUCAGUUCUCAUCUGAUCCUCUCUUCUUCUUGCUCUUGGCCUGCUUUGCCAAGAAAACUGAAAGCCCAGUGAAGGCAAACUUCUUCCUCUUUCCGGAGAAUUUCUUGUUAGCACUUGCAUCACUGCUAUAAGUCAAGAUUGCCUGCCUCCUGUUCAGGAUCUGGCCAAGGGAGACACUAGAAGUUUCACUCGUACUCGUGUCGUCCGACACGCUCUUGUCGUACCCAUCAGGCCCCAUCAGCUUCAUACUCAGUAUUUGCCCGAUCGACAGUGUCGGUUUCAUGGAGUUGUCUGAAACAUCGAUGAUGUCCAUGCAGUGAGAGUCAUCUCUGUGGCGAUGUGCUGCAGUUUUGAACUUGGGGGAGCCACGGAAUGAGCGCCUCUUGUGUCCGGUCUCGGAUCGGCAUCGACGAAGGGUCUCUUCCACCGCAAACUUUCUUCGGUUGGCAGUCUCUACCCUCUUCAGGGCCUCUUGUAGCGCCUUCUUGCAUUCCUCGACCUCCAUUUUCGCUUCCUCUAGCCUUGUGAGUGACUCCGACUUCGAUUGGUUGGCUUCAUCGACAUGGACCAUGGCAGCUGCAAUCUUGUUCCUUGAGCUUUCAUCGGCCUCUU
rnacentral:lncRNA from 1 species